CAUACGGGGCUUUAUGUCUUGUAUUGGAAUGAUGGGAAUUUAAACCUCUUCCAGAGUAUCAAUUGGAGGGCAAGUCUGGUGCCAGCAGCCGCGGUAAUUCCAGCUCCAAUAGCGUAUAUUAAAAUUGUUGCAGUUAAAAAGCUCGUAGUUGAAUUUCUGCUGCAUUGCAUUUUCUCCUAUACGAGUUUUUGCAUUGUGGCUUAUUUCGGUUAUAAAAUUUAUUUUUAUUUCCGGAUGUUUACUUUGAGAAAAUUAGAGUGCUCAAAGCAGGCUUUUGCCUUGAAUAGUUUAGCAUGGAAUAAUAAAGUAGGACUUUGGUUCUAUUUUGUUGGUUUUAGGUACCAAAGUAAUGGUUAAUAGGAACAGUUGGGGGCAU
rnacentral:rRNA from 1 species